rnacentral:rRNA from 2 species
GGGGAAUAUUGCGCAAUGGGGGAAACCCUGACGCAGCAAUACCGCGUGAGUGAAGAAGGUUUUCGGAUCGUAAAGCUCUGUUAUUGGGGAAGAAAAAAAGACGGUACCCAAGAAGAAAGUCCCGGCUAACUACGUGCCAGCAGCCGCGGUAAUACGUAGGUGGCGAGCGUUGUCCGGAUUUACUGGGCGUAAAGGGUGCGUAGGCGGAUAUUUAAGUCAGAUGUGAAAACCCCGGGCUUAACUUGGGGACUGCAUUUGAAACUGGAUAUCUAGAGUGCAGGAGAGGAAAGCGGAAUUCCUAGUGUAGCGGUGAAAUGCGUAGAGAUUAGGAAGAACACCAGUGGCGAAGGCGGCUUUCUGGACUGUAACUGACGCUGAGGCACGAAAGCGUGGGUAGCAAACA